UCACGCGCUGAAUUUAA
rnacentral:rRNA from 1 species